CCCUAGUAAGCACUUAAUUCAAAGUGAAUAAUUUAAAAAUAAUAGAAAAUCAAAACAUAUACAUUAUAUAUCAUAAAAUUUUUAUUUUAUUUAUUUUUUUAAAUUAAUUAAAUAGAAAAACACACAUAUCUACCACAGACAAUCUCUCAGUAUGUCAGGUUUUUGUUAAUCCAAAUCAAAUACCCUUAGCAGGAUAAAAAGAUGGAUGUAAAUCUGUAAUUUUAUUACGAAUAUAUGAUGAAUGGUAAGGAAGUGUCUCUACAAAAAGUAGGGAAGAAAGAAAGGGUAAACAAGACCAGAUAUCGUUAUGAUAAGACAUAAAGCAAACAGACAGACCAAAAAAACAUGAUAUGAUUUAUAAAAAACAGACUAAAUGAAUAUCUACAUUUAGUCCCAUGGGUUCUAAUGUUUUUAGUUGAUGAAUCCAAAAAGUUUCCCUUUGGGAUAGAUUCUUAAUCCUAUCGCCACCACACCAAUGGGGGGCAACUCUUUCGAUACCCAUACAUCUGAAAUCUUUCCAUGAAAAGGAAGGGCAUGUACUGCAAUGUGCAGAAACUGAGUGAGUAAUUAACCCCUUCCUAAUGUUGUUCAGAUGUUCAAGUAUUCAAACCUUAAAAGCUCUUACAGUACGGCCCACAUACUGUUUGCCACACGGACACUGCAGUAGAUAAACCUAUAUCUGAUUUAAUAUGAUAUACCUCGCCAGUAGUAAAACUAGAAAAGGUAUUCGAUCUCUCAAUAGUCACAGUCCUACAAGCUUUGCUAAGGAUUUAGCUUGUUUAACUACCAUUUUGUUUAUUUUAACACCUUUCAUUAUUUUCUUGUCUAUUUGUGGAUCUAUAAUCGCAUUGAAGUCUCCAGCUAGUAUUACAUUUCCUACUUUUAUUUCUUUUUUUUUUUCUAGAAUAGAUCUUAAAUAGGAAGCUGGUGAGUAAUUUGGGAGGUAGACAUUACAGAGUGUAAAUAAAUUGGAAUUAAUUUUACAUACUAUUGCCAAAAAUCUGCCAUCUGCAUCUUGUAAUUGUUGAAUUAUUUCUACCUCUAUUUUUUCGCCAAAUAUUAUAGCUACUCCACAUUUUUUUUUAUCUUUAUUUGAGGCUUGUAUAAUAAGCAGGAAUUUUUUUCCACCCAAAGUCUGUUUGUCCGAUUGCCUCCAAUGGGUUUCUUGUAGAAAUCCCAAGUCUAUAUGUUCUGCGGCUAAAUAUUUAUAUACUAAAGACCUCUUUAUUGUUGUGUUCAUACCUUGGACAUUAAGAGUUAACAUUCUUAUCAUUGUAGAUUCCAAAACCCCUUUCCCUCCAUCUCGACACUAUGAUCUCCCCUAUUCUUCUCUAUUGCUGCACAUACAUACAUAUAACAAAAAAACACAUAUCUAAAAUCGUAGGAGGAUAACAUCCUCCUUAAGCACAAAGACUGUUAACUCACCAGCUGGGGAGUCAGUUUAAUCCUGUGUCUAAAUGUUAGACACUAAGUAGGUCUGUCCGGAUUAAGGUGAUGCUACAUAAUAAUACCCCUUAAUUUAUUUUAUUGCAAAAAAAAAAAUUCUAAUCCUGGCAUUCAAAAUAUAAGAAGCAACUUUAUCAUUGUUAUCUUGUCCGACGUCUCUCUAUAUUGUUAUUUACCGGUUAUUAUUAUCAUAGCAUUUAUACAAAUAUUUCUUUACAAUCAUCUUAGUGCAAACCUUAAAUAAAAAAAAAAUAAAAAAAAAACAUAAACUAAACAUAUAUAAAUAAAUUUACAAUAUGUAUAACAGCUUUCUAGCCACAUCAGAUUAUUUUAUAUGUAUAUUGUUAGUAUAUUACAUUAAUCGUGAGUUUAGACAAAUUCCAGCAUUGAUCAUAAGUGCACACCUUAAUAAAUUUAAUAUGAAAAAAAUAGGAGAAAAUAAGUUUUUGUUUAAUUUUUUUAGUUCUACAUGACAUUUUAACUGUCAAUGUCAUAAUACUGCUUGCUUUUACUGCAAUAAAAUACACAUAUUUGUAUUCAACAAAGUCUCACGUGUAAGACUGUAC